AGUGUGUUGGCAGAAUAGUGCAACUGAUUUAGGAUCAGUAAAUGGGGCGACACCACACACUA
rnacentral:tRNA from 1 species